rnacentral:rRNA from 1 species
UACUAGCGGUCCAAGUCGCAGCCAUCAUUAUUGGGGUCUAAAACAUCCGUAGCUUGUUUUGUAAGUUUCUUGUGAAAUCCGGCUUCUUAAGAGUCGGGCGCGCGGGAAGUACUGCAAAACUAGAGAUUGGGAGACGUAGGAAGUACGACCAAAGUAGUGGUAAAAUACGUUAAUCUAGGUCGGACUCACAAUAGCGAAGGCAUCCUACGAGAACAGUUCUGACAGUAAGGGAUGAAGGCUAGGGGCGCAAAACAGAUUAGAUACCUGUGUAGUCCUAGCAGUAAACACUGCACACUAAACAUCGGGACCUCCUCGAGAGGUUUCGGUGCUGUAGGGAAGCCGAAGAGUGUGCUACCUGGGAAGUAUAGUCGCAAGGCCGAAACUUAAAGGAAUUGGCGGGGAGACACUACAACAGGUGACGCGUGCGGUUCAAUUAGAUUAUACACCGUGAACCUCACCAGGAUCGACAGCAGGAUGAAGGUCAGUCUAAAGGGCUUACCUGGCACGCUGAGAGGAGUUGCAUGGCCGACGUCAGCCUGUGCUGUGAAGUGACCUGUUAAAUCAGGUAACAGGCAAGACCCACAUGUAUAUUUACUACGUGUACAAUAUACAGAUUGCCUUGGUAACGAGGAUGAAAGUGUGGGCUACGUUAGGUGAGUACAGCCUGAAUACCCUGGGCUACACGCGCGCGUCAAUGGCAGAUACAAUGGGAUGCAACUCUGAAAAGAGAAGCUAAUCUCUUAAAAUCUGUCUCAGUCCAGAUUGAGGUUUGAAACUCAGCCUCAUGACGCUGGAAUCUGUAGUAAUCGUUUGUUAUCAGCAAACGGUGAAUACGUCACUGUCUCU